CUCUGAAAUCAAUAAAAAAAUAUUAAAAAAAUAAAACUAUUGAGGUGAUGGAUGCACACGCUGGAUACUGUGAAACCCACUGAAUUGUACAAUUUAAAUGGAUGAGUUGUAUAGUAUAUGAAUUAUAGCUCAAUAAAGCUGUUACUAAAACAAAACGCAGACUCCACACCCUACAUUUACUAAGUCCUGCACUCUAAUAACCCAAUCUUUAUUACACUAAAGAGAAUAAUAAUAAUAACCAUUUACUGAACACUUGCAUUUGGAACCUACUGAGUAUUUCUCAUUCAUUUUCCCAUUCAAUCCUGACACAUCUCAAUGCCUGAGGCACUAAUCAUUGUUAUUUUACAGAUGAGGAAACAGGCUUCCGAGGGUGAGAAGGGAGCUGACGGUUCUCUCUCCACACCUCACCCACCUUCCAUCCACCGCAGUGCCGUGCACACCACAGGCUGCUUUGUAAACAAGUCACAUUCAGGGCUCCAGGCCGCACCAGAAAAGAUGGCUGGGGCUGCU